ensembl:lncRNA
AAGGUGAUAAGGGCUCUGGAAAAGAGCAGGUUGGGAGGAUCAGGACCUGGGAGGUGGAUUCAGUUUUACAUCAGGAGGUCAGAACAAGCUCCAUUAAGGAGCAGACUUUGAGAAAAGACUGGAAGGAGGUGAGGGAGUGACCAAGUGGACAUCUAGGGGAAUAGCUUUCUUGGCAAAGGUGAUAGCUGUGUAAUGCCCCUCGGGGGACCACGCCUGGUGUGUUCCAAGAGCAGGAGGCCAGGGUGGCUGGACAGAUGUGAGCACAGGCAAGAGAAGUAAGAGCUUCUGAGAUCAGAGAGGUAACAGGGAGCCAGAUCAGGUCCAUCCUGACCUACAGUCUCGGGAUGCCAGAACCCAAAGGGGCCUCGGACACUGUGUGGUAACCCACCGCUUGCCGGACAGGUCAGGUCAAGAAGCAUUCUUGAGCACCUUCCAGGGGACGUCAGUGCUGGUCCACAAAAGAUGAGUAAGACACCGGCCUUGCCCUCGAGGGAGUCCCUGACUAUAAGCAGACUGUAACAAGUGUUAUUCUAGAAGCACAGAGAGCUUUGGCAUCAGGGAGGAGCACAGCCUGGAGAAAACAGCAUGUGGCAAACAUUGGUCACUACAGACCCUCCCGGAAGAAAUUCUUGGGUGACGAUGAAGAUGUUGGCAGAAGUUACAAAGAUUUUUUUUUACUGCAGCAAAAAGCAUAGUAGGGUAUCUAGGCUGUUGUAGGACCGAGAUUUGGGUUGCCUUGGAAGUAAGCAGUUCCUCUCACAUGAAUGCUCAUCAGUAUUGGGGCAGACCAGCUUCCAUUGUAGAACGUUGGAGAAAAUAUUGAAACUACAAUUGAGUAUUCGGGAACUUUUUUCAACAGAUGCCUAGCCACAUCUUCCAACAUCUUGUCGUGUACAGUAGCAUCAUGGUAAUGGACUGGUAGCUGAGGUGAGCUGAUGGGGCUCCUCUCCUUAUACUUUAAGUUUCAGAGGCUUGGGGAGGAGUGGAACCCUGGCAUGGAUUCCCAGCUUUCCAGUUGCUUUCUCAGCAUUCGAAGCUGUUCUGCCAUGGCCCCUUUCAGACCCUGCAUCAUGAGGUGCAGAGCUGAGGCCCCUGAGCUGAGCUGAGCUGGGAGGGGACCCAGAUGCUUGGCCUCACAGAUGAGAUCAGCUGCAGCGGCUCAUGGCCCUGAGGUCCGCGGUCUCUGACGCAAAAGCUGGUGGAGGCAGCUAUGUGGAGCCUUGAGGCUGCAAGGACCUCCAGAGCAGGGGCGAGCAUCUGCACAUCUUGGCCCUGGCUGCACCACCUGGGUUGUUAGGAGGAUGGAGGGGACCUAGUGGCUUCUACUCCCCAGGGUCUGGCCAGCUUUCAUUGGCUGAGGAGCAUGAGGAAAAUAUUAAUAGUAACUGCAAUGGUUUGGAUUUACGCAUAACUCUUUUAGGAGAAUAUUUCAAAGGUCAUUAGCUUUAGGAUGAAUCAAUACUGCAAGGGGUCGUGUAAAAUGGGGUAUGAGUGAAUUGAGUUAUUGAGGUUGCAGUCUUCAAUUUAUUCACUCAUGGAAAUAAAUGGUUGAUGGCUUAAAAUGAGUAAAUUUUUAAAUAGGAAUUUUAGCAAUGACUCAAAUGAUGGUCAGUCAUGUUUAUGGUAAAUAGACUCAAGUCGAUAACCAUUGGAACAAAAAAUGUGAAUUCACAAUAGUCUUAUUAAAUUCCAAUCACCAAUUUAGUUGCAGCAGAAUAACAUUGCCCACCACAUGAAAUUAAUGUUAACUUGAAUUUUAUUGCUCUGUUUCAGUUUUUAUACUUUAAACGUUUAUUGAUAUGAGACAAGCAUAAAGUGUAUAGAUUUAGUAUUUGUAAAUCUUUGAGCAACGUCACAAUAAAAUAAUUUAAAUCAAACCUGGGGUUUGAAGUGUACACGAUACGUUUUAGUUCUAAAGAGAUCUCUGAUUCUCGCUCCUAGGGCAAGUAGUGUCCGCCACACAUAAUGGCAGAGACCAACCUGGUGGUUAGAGGAAGCACUGCAAUUCACUGAAUGCUGGCCCGUUUAAACAGCCUUGCCUUAGAUAAACUUCUGCGUUCUUCUGGUGAGGUCUUGAAAUGUGGUGAGCACCAGUCCCUCGUCUCUCCCGUAUUGACCUGUUCCAUACUGUGGCUCUCCAGCUAUAUGAAGC